rnacentral:rRNA from 1 species
AGUCGAACGGCAGCAUAGGUGCUUGCACCUGAUGGCGAGUGGCGAACGGGUGAGUAAUAUAUCGGAACGUGUCCGGAAGUGGGGGAUAACGCAGCGAAAGUUGCGCUAAUACCGCAUAUGCCCUGAGGGGGAAAGGGGGGGAUCGCAAGACCUCUCGCUUUCGGAGUGGCCGAUAUCGGAUUAGCUAGUUGGUGGGGUAAAGGCCUACCAAGGCGACGAUCCGUAGCUGGUCUGAGAGGACGACCAGCCACACUGGGACUGAGACACGGCCCAGACUCCUACGGGAGGCAGCAGUGGGGAAUUUUGGACAAUGGGCGCAAGCCUGAUCCAGCCAUGCCGCGUGAGUGAAGAAGGCCUUCGGGUUGUAAAGCUCUUUCAG